GUGCUCACUUCGCCAGCACAUAUACUAAAAUUGGAACAAUACAGAGAAGGUUAGCAUGGCCCCUGCACAAGGAUGACAUGCAAAUUCCUGAAGCGUUCCAUAUUUUU
ensembl:snRNA RNU6-574P RNA, U6 small nuclear 574, pseudogene